rnacentral:rRNA from 1 species
CCGGAGAAUGUUAUCACGGGAGACACACGGCGGGUGCUAACGUCCGUCGUGAAGAGGGAAACAACCCAGACCGCCAGCUAAGGUCCCAAAGUCAUGGUUAAGUGGGAAACGAUGUGGGAAGGCCCAGACAGCCAGGAUGUUGGCUUAGAAGCAGCCAUCAUUUAAAGAAAGCGUAAUAGCUCACUGGUCGAGUCGGCCUGCGCGGAAGAUGUAACGGGGCUAAACCAUGCACCGAAGCUGCGGCAGCGAACGUAUCACUUAAAGCGAUUCAGCGGGUUACGAUUGACGGAGCGAAGCGACGUCAAAGCGUAUACAAAGUCGAGUCGGUUUAAGGAUACGUUCGUUGGGUAGGGGAGCGUUCUGUAAGCCUGYGAAGGUGKGUCGUGAGGSAUGCUGGAGGUAUCAGAAGUGCGAAUGCUGACAUAAGUAACGAUAAAGCGGGUGAAAAGCCCGCUCGCCGGAAGACCAAGGGUUCCUGUCCAACGUUAAUCGGGGCAGGGUGAGUCGACCCCUAAGGCGAGGCCGAAAGGCGUAGUCGAUGGGAAACGGGUUAAUAUUCCCGUACUUGGUGUUACUGCGAAGGGGGGACGGAGAAGGCUAUGUUGGCCGGGCGACGGUUGUCCCG